rnacentral:rRNA from 1 species
CUUGGUCAUUUAGAGGAAGUAAAAGUCGUAACAAGGUCUCCGUUGGUGAACCAGCGGAGGGAUCAUUACCGAGUCUUACAACUCCCAAACCCCUGUGAAUAUACCAUCGUUGCUUCGGCGGAUCACCCCGGGCGCUUCGGCGCCCCGGAUCCAGGUGCCCGCCGGAGGACCCAAACUCUUGUUUUAGCAGUGGCACCUUCUGAGUAAUUUUAUAAAUAAAUCAAAACUUUCAACAACGGAUCUCUUGGUUCUGGCAUCGAUGAAGAACGCAGCGAAAUGCGAUAAGUAAUGUGAAUUGCAGAAUUCAGCGAAUCAUCGAAUCUUUGAACGCACAUUGCGCCCGCUAGUAUUCUGGCGGGCAUGCCUGUCUGAGCGUCAUUUCAACCCUCGAGCCCCUUUGGGCUCGGCGUUGGGGAUCGGCCGUCCAUCGCGGCGGCCGGCCCCGAAAUCUAGUGGCGGUCUCGCUGUAGCCUUCUCUGCGUAGUAGUAAAACCCUCGCAGGCGAAGAGCGGCCUGACCACGCCGUAAAACACCCAACUUUACCAAGGUUGACCUCAGAUCAGGUAGGAAUACCCGCUGAACUUAAGCAUAUCAAUAAGCGGAGAA